UAAUAUGACUAAGUAAAAUAUAUUAAACACAGAGGAGCAGUUUGUUCUGAUGAGUGUGAGAGGAUUGCUGAGUGGUGAAGGGCUAGUUUGUGACCUAAGCCUUGCAGAAUGGGUAGGUUUGGGUAAGCAGAUAAUAGGUUUGAUUUCUCUGCUCUUUGUUCCUAUAUCACUCAGGAGUUUCUCUUUCUGAAGCCUGACCGUACUUCAUUAGAAUAAGUGAACACUGACAUAAUGAUGUAUGGGAUGACCAUUUCUGCUGUUCUUCAAAUGCGCAUGUUGGGAGCUGCAAGGAAACUACGAUCUCUUGUCUACCUGUGGGAGUGAGCCCACGUUGUCCUGUGGACACCAUCCACCAUUGUCCCAGAGCCCGAAGAGAGUUACUUCACUGCAGAUGGCCUUAGGGAAUAUUUUGCUAAUAUCCGUUUGUAC
rnacentral:lncRNA from 1 species